UGAGCAAUCUGCCCUUCUCAUCGGAAUAAGCGUUGGAAACGACGUCUAAUGCCGAAUACGACCUCCUUUCGCAUGAUCGGAGGUGGAAAGCUCCGGCGGAGAAGGAUGAGCUCGCGGCCUAUCAGCUAGUUGGUGUGGGUAAUGGCUCACCAAGGCGAUGACGGGUAGCCGGCCUGAGAGGGUGACCGGCCACACGUGGGACUGAGACACGGCCCAGACCUCUACGGGGA
rnacentral:rRNA from 1 species